rnacentral:lncRNA from 1 species
UCUGUGUAUAAGUUGCAUUACUCUUUCGCAAGACUUGCUUAUUUCAUCCUUCUUUGAAAGAGCCAUAAAAGGAUAAAAAAACAUUCCCAAUAAGUUUUCCUGUCUAUGAUUGAAUCACGCUAAUAUAUCAGAAUGCUUAAACUCACCGAAAAUCCAUUAAGUUCUGUACAGUGACGAAGAGUUCCUCGGUUCGAACAUUUCAAGAGGGUUACCUUUCACAAGAAACACUCUUUGCCAGUUCAAUGUAGACGCUGUAGCUUGCACGCCAGGGGAAGCAUCAGAUUCUUCCUGUGCUACUUCAAUGCCUCUCUCUUGCAAGUACUGCAUUUUUCUGGCUUCACUGAUAGUGCUGAGUGGUACUUAAACACCGUCUGCUGAAACGAAUGAGUGCUAUGCAACUUAUUUGACAAGAAUAAUGUGGGCUUUGUACUCUGACUUUGUUGCGCUGCAGAAAGAAAGCUUAUAGCCACAACCACAACCACUUUUAGAACUAAACAGUUCAGAGUCUCUACCAGUAGUGCGGCCAGUCUGAGGAAAGUUUUCGAAUCGCACAAGAUCCCCUCAAACUAUAAUCCAACACCAGUAAACGUCGAUGUGAGACUCCUCACGGCUGACUUCAUUGCUGGAAUGAGACGCUAUGCUGUGUUGCUCUUGGCAAGCAAGAUAGAUAACUGAGCUUGGGGUCAUUGUGCGAUUUCGCUGCAAAGCUCCAACAGAGCCACAGAUAUUGAUCGAU